rnacentral:misc_RNA from 1 species
UCCUGGUUUCCCAGGCAGUCCCAUCAGAGUGCCUUGCAUAAAGCAAGUAGCAACUGACAGCAGGGGUUGCGCUCGUUAAAGGACUUAACCCAACAUCUCACGACACGAGCUGACGACAGCCAUGCAGCACCUGUGCUACUGUCUAGACCGAAGCCCAGAAAAUUGUAUUUCUACAACGGUCAAUAGCAUGUCAAGUCCAGGUAAGGUUCCUCGCGUAGUGUCGAAUUAAACCACAUGUUCCACCGCUUGUGCGAACCCCCGUCAAUUCCUUUAAGUUUUAGCCUUGCGACCGUACUCCCCAGGCGGAUCACUUAUCGCGUUAGCUGCGACACUGCCUCGGCUAAGCCAAAGCAACGUCCAGUGAUCAUCGUUUACAGCGUGGACUAC